GACGAACGCUGGCGGCGUGCUUAACACAUGCAAGUCGAACGGAAAGGCCCUGCUUUUGUGGGGUGCUCGAGUGGCGAACGGGUGAGUAACACGUGAGUAACCUGCCCUUGACUUUGGGAUAACUUCAGGCAACUGGGGCUACUACCGGCUAGGUGCUCCUGCUGCAUGGUGGGGGUUGGACCGUUUCGGCGGUUGGGGAUGGACUCGCGGCUUAUCAGCUUGUUGGUGGGGUAGUGGCUUACCAAGGCUUUGACGGGUAGCCGGCCUGAGAGGGUGACCGGCCACAUGGGGACUGAGAUACGGCCCAGACGGCUACGGGAGGCAGCAGGGGGGAAUAUUGCACAAUGGGCGGAAGCCUGAUGCAGCAACGCCGCGUGCGGGAUGACGGCCUACGGGUGGGAAACCGCUUUCGCCUGUGACGAAGCGCGAGUGACGGUAAUGGGUAAAGAAGCACCGGCUAACUACGUG
rnacentral:rRNA from 1 species